UACGUAGGGGGCAAGCGUUAUCCGGAAUUAUUGGGCGUAAAGAGUGCGUAGGUGGUUUUGUAAGCGCGGGGUGAAAGGCUAUGGCUCAACCAUAGUAAGCCUUGCGAACUGUGAGACUUGAGUGCAGGAGAGGAAAGCGGAAUUCCUAGUGUAGCGGUGAAAUGCGUAGAUAUUAGGAGGAACACCAGUGGCGAAGGCGGCUUUCUGGACUGUAACUGACACUGAGGCACGAAAGCGUGGGGAGCAAACAGGAUUAGAUACCCUGGUAGUCCACGCCGUAAACGAUGAGCACUAGGUGUCGGGGCCGCAAGGUUUCGGUGCCGCAGUUAACGCAUUAAGCAUCCCGCCUGGGGAGUACGGUCGCAAGGCUGAA
rnacentral:rRNA from 1 species